rfam:Myotis lucifugus cont2.25367, whole genome shotgun sequence.
GGUGGUUCUCAGAUGAAGCACCCUAGAAUCGGGCUCUCUCCUCUCUGGUUCCGGGGGGCGUCACCUGACCCCU